AUUGAACGCUGGCGGCAGGCUUAACACAUGCAAGUCGAGCGAGCGGCGGACGGGUGAGUAAUGUCUGGGAAACUGCCUGAUGGAGGGGGAUAACUACUGGAAACGGUAGCUAAUACCGCAUACCAUCAGAUGUGCCCAGAUGGGAUUAGCUUGUAGGUGGGGUAACGGCUCACCUAGGCGACGAUCCCUAGCUGGUCUGAGAGGAUGACUCGCCACACCUGCACUGAGACACGUUCCCGACUCCUCCGGGAGGCGGCAGUGGGGAAUUUUGCACAAUGGGGGCAAGCCUGAUGCCGCCAGGCCGCGUGUGUGAAGAAGGCCUUCGGGUUGUAAAGCUCUUUCAGCGAGGAGGCGUUACUCGCCGGAGAAGAACCGGCGAACUCCGUGCCAGCAGCCGCGGUAAUACC
rnacentral:rRNA from 1 species